AGGUUCGCUCCCCUGGCUCGGACUGAACGCUGGCGGGCAUGCUUAACACUGCAAGUCGAACGAGUUGGGGGGGGGGGUGGGGGUUUUCCAGUGCGAACGGGUGAGUACGCGUUAAGAACCUUGCCUUGGGAGGGAACAACAACUGGAAACGGUUGCUAAUACCCCGUAGGCUGAGAGCAAAAAGUUGAGAUUUAGUAGGGAUGGUAGAAGGGAGAAUGAGAGGGAAGAGAAAUCCGCCAAGGAGGUGCUCUGCGUCUUAUUAGCUAGUUUGGUGAGGCAAUAGCUUACCAAGGCGAUGAAUCAGUAGCUGGUCCGAGAGAUGAUCAGCCACACUGGGACUGAGACACGGCCCAGACUCCUACUGGAGGCAGUCAUUGUUGAAUUUUCCGCAAUGGUCGAAAGCCUGACUGAGCAAUGCCGCCGCGUGGAGGUGUAAGGCUACGGGUCGGUCAACUUCUUUUCUCGGAGAAGAAAACAAUGACCUGUAUCUGAGGAAUAAGCAUCGGCUAACUCUGUGCCAUCAGCCGCGUAAUGACAAAGAGGAUGCAAGCGUUAUCCGGAAUGAUUGGGCGUAAAGCGUCUGUGGUGGCUUUCAAGUCCCGCCGUCCAAAUCCCAGGGGCUCAACCUGGACAGGCGGUGAACUACCAAGUCUGGAGUACGGUAGGGGCAGAGGGAAUUUCCGGUGGAGCGGUGAAUGCAUUGGAUCGGAAAAACACAACGGCGAAAUCCACUUUCUGUGGCGAACUGACACAUAGAGAACGAAAGCUAGGGGAGCAAAUGGAUUAGAGACCCCAGUAGUCUAGCCGUAAACGAUGGAUACUAGGUGCUGUGCGACUCGACCCGUGCAGUGCUGUAGCUAACGCCGUUAAGUAUCCCCCUGGUAGUACGUUCGCAAGAAUGAAACUCAAAAGGAAUUGAACGGGGGCCCCCGCACAAGCGGUGGAGCUGUGUUUAAUUUAAUUCGAUGCAAAGCGAAGACCUUACCAGUGCUUGACAUGCCGCGGAAUCCUCUUGCAAGAGAGGGGGUGCCCUCUUAACGCGGACACCGGUGGUGCAUGGGUGUCGUCACUCGUGCCGUAAAGGUGUUGGGUUAAGUCUCGCAAGAGCGCAACCCUCGUGUUUAGUUUGCCACUAUUAGUUUGGAACCCUGACCGACCGGGGGGCCGGUGUUAAGUCCGGAGGAAGGAAGGAGAGCCAAGUCAUCAUGCCCUUAUGCCUGGGCGACACACGUGCUACAUGGGCGGACAAGGGUCGCGAUCUCGCGAGGGUGAGCUACCCUCCCAAAAACCCGUCCUCAGUUCGGAUUGCCGGCGCAACUCGCCUGCAUGAAGCAUGAUCGCUAGUAAGCGCCGGUCAAGCCAUACGCGGUUGAAUCCGUUCCGGUCCUGUACCACCGCCUGGGGAGCCGUCAACUUAGAGCUGGCAUGUUUGAAGUCAUUACCUUAAACCGUAGAGGAGGGGUAUGCCUAGGCCAGCCUUGCCCGACUGGAGUGAAGGGUAACAAGGUAGCCGUACUGUAAGGUGUCGGCUG
rnacentral:rRNA from 1 species